rnacentral:rRNA from 1 species
UACGGAGGGGGCUAGCGUUGUUCGGAAUUACUGGGCGUAAAGCGCACGUAGGCGGACUGUUAAGUCGGGGGUGAAAUCCUGGGGCUCAACCUCAGAAUUGCCUCCGAUACUGGCAGUCUCGAGUGCGGGAGAGGUGAGUGGAAUUCCCAGUGUAGAGGUGAAAUUCGUAGAUAUUGGGAAGAACACCAGUGGCGAAGGCGGCUGCACUGGCC